AUCGGAUGCCCAAUUGAGCCAAGAACAUUACAAGUGGGCCGUCGAGCAGCAGUAACUGGAGAUGACUCUGUCAUACCAUACCCAUUUUGCACUUUCACGCCAAUUGCCUCAAAAAAUUCAUCAACAUACGAUGGUAAACUACCACCUCCACUUAUGCCAGCCUUGCUCAUUCCAAUAGCAGAGCGAAUUUUGCUGUAAACAAGCUUAUCAGCCAACUUAUGCACUGGCAACAAGA
rnacentral:misc_RNA from 1 species